GAUGAACGCUGGCUACAGGCUUAACACAUGCAAGUCGAGGGGAAACGACGGGGAAGCUUGCUUCCCCGGGCGUCGACCGGCGCACGGGUGAGUAACGCGUAUCCAACCUGCCUCUGACUGAGGGAUAACCCGUCGAAAGUCGGCCUAAUACCUCAUGGUAUCGUCUGCGGGCAUCCAACGACGAUUAAAGAUUUCAUCGGUCAGGGAUGGGGAUGCGUCUGAUUAGCUUGUUGGCGAGGUAACGGCCCACCAAGGCUACGAUCAGUAGGGGUUCUGAGAGGAAGGUCCCCCACAUUGGAACUGAGACACGGUCCAAACUCCUACGGGAGGCAGCAGUGAGGAAUAUUGGUCAAUGGGCGAGAGCCUGAACCAGCCAAGUAGCGUGCAGGAAGACGGCCCUAUGGGUUGUAAACUGCUUUUAGGCGGGGAUAAAGUGAGGGACGUGUCCCUCAUUGCAGGUACCGCAUGAAUAAGGACCGGCUAAUUCCGUG
rnacentral:rRNA from 1 species